AAUAUACUUAGUUAGAUGAAGUUUCAGUUGUGUAUAUAAAAGGUUUAAUUUUUAAAAUUAGGUGAUCUAGCUGUAACUACGGCAUCGUACAGGGUUGUUUAGUGUAGUUUAACCAAAAAUAAAAAGAUAACUUGAGUAUUUAUCUUAAAAUUGGGAGCAAAUUAGUAUUUAAGAAAAUUUGUACUAACUCUUAGAAAACCCUAAUCCUUUUCCUCCCCUAUAUAUAAUGAUGCUUUUACCAAUUCUUCUCAUUCUCAACUCAACCUCCUGCGGCUAAGAUGAAAGGAGCUCACAACAAUGAAGAAAAGAAUGACGAUGAUGAUGAUGAAACCAGUUUCCAACAUGAAUCCUCCUCAUGGAUUCUUCAGAUCCAUCAAAUCAAUGAAUCACCGAGUUUGUGACAUGGUCGAGUUGCUGGCUUAGAAGAUGCAAUUUUUCCCUAUCGAGAGAGACCUUUUGCGAUCCUGGAAUUCGAGUAUUUCUCUUGGAAUGUACAUCCAAAUGAAGCAUUUGAUAGAAGAACUUCAUUAUCCUUUGAACCUCAGAAAAUGGGAUAUGUUUAUACCUAAAAUCUGCAUCUCACCCUGCUCCUGCUCUUGUAAGAUUCCCAAAAUAAGCAACAACUUCGUUAUCUUGAUCAGAGUCUUUCUUCCAUUCGGGAGUUUGGGGACAAAAAUAAUGAUCAGGAUUCGAUGAGAAAUAGAAGUCAUUUAACGUUUCCACAUACUUCGGUCUGUAAAUUCCAGGAGGGCGUGCUUGGGAAAUAUUGUUAUUGCAUCACUGACACUAAGUGACUAAUUACAUACGAGAAAAUGUACAAUCAUGUAGCCAGUUCGGUUAUGACCAUGAGUGCAGUGGACAACAACAUACUUACUUGCUUGAGAUUCUUGAGAUACAUGGGAGUGCAAUGUUACAUCUCAAGAAUCUCAAGCAAGUCGGAUGUUGUUGUCCACUGCACUCAUGGUCACAACCGAACUGGCUACAUGAUUGUAUAUUUUUUUGUAUGUAAUCAGUCACUUAGUGUCAAUGAGGCAAUAGCAAUAUUUGCUCAAGCACGCCCUUCUGGAAUUUUUCACGCCCUCCUGGAAUUUACAGACUGAAAUAUGUUGGAGCGUUAUAUGACUUUUAUUUCCAAUCAAAGCCUGAACAUUAUUUUUAUCCCCAAACUCCCUAAUGGAAGAAAGACUCUGAUCAAGAUGCAUGGGAAUUAUAUGUGUAAUAUGAUCAAGAUACCUGAGAUUCACAGGAAUCCAACAUUGUACUCCUUGAUUUUGAAGGAAGCCUUGAACAUUCUUGUCUCAACCUCAUUAUUCUGGAGGGUUGUCAGCAGGUUACCAAAUUUCUUAGUGCAUGGUAUUAAUUGGGCAUUGUGGAUAUUACUCUCAUUGCCAGCUCUAUCGUAAUGCAAUCCCCAGUAUGUUGAUUGAUCGUCAAGCAAUAGAUCAAAAUUCAACUUGUCAAAAGAAGAACAAAAAAUAAAGUUAUCGAUAUAGAAUUGAUCACAAGGAUAUAUUAAUUGAAGAAGGACCAGGACGAGAAGAAAAAUGAUAAACCAACUUUGAUAUGAAAGGAAAAGUUAUCGAAAGGAAACAAAUAGGACAACACUUUUUUGAAGUGGGAGAUAUGGGAAGAACAAAACAAUUCAAUGGCUUGUUAAAUAUUGUACAAUGAUUCAGAUUUAGAUAACUAGAAAUAAAUGAUUUUUGUAUAGGAUAAGAGAGGCUUUUUCUGACAAUUAGCUCCAUGAUGUAAACUGGUAUUGUAAUAUGAAUUUUCCAUUUAUUC